GAGGUGGACAGGAGCAGCCUACGGGACUAGGGUCGCGCAGUCCAACUUAUCCCCUUUUAUCCCUUCCCCCUACAUAUUAUUUAUUUCUACUUUAUCCCUCCUCCCCCCUUUUUUCUCCUCCUCUUCUCUCUCUCCUUCCUUUCUUUUUAUCCUCUUUCUUCUCCUCCUUUUACCUACAGCAGAUCUAACAUACUAUACUUGCCUAAUAUUGUUCACCUACCUUUCUUGUCCCUCCAGCCAAGGCUGACACACCAAUAUCAGUAGGCAAUUAAAUGGAACUAGCACUAUAUUUCACUCUCCCUCAUGCGCCUAACUUACUGGAUAUGUGGGCGAUAUACACAUUGGACUCACGCUAGGGGCUAUCCUCUAGGGCACACAGAUUGGAGGUACUCACACCACUCUCAUAUAAGACAGGAAUAAUUUCAUGACCCCUCCUAAGGGUAUAAUUCAUACAAAUGACAACACAGGGGGACAAAAGGAGAGACUUAGUUGAGAGGGUCAGACUACUCCCGUGACCCACACAACACCGGGAUUCCCG